UUCUAUCUUCUUUCAAUUUCACGUCCCCUUCUUCUCUCUUCUCUUUCUGCAAAAUAGAAACCGCUCAUCCUCUCUUUCCGCCGCCCCUUUCCUUGCCGUUUCCGACCACCACCAGCCCAAAGAGAAAAAUUAAUACCACCACUGAUAUCCUCUCUUUUUCCUCUUCUAUAUAGUGUAAUUUAAUUUUAGAUCGGAAGAAUUUUGAAAUUUAACAUCCCCACCUUCUCUCUUAUUUUCCGGCCUCCAUGGACUCUCUAUGAGAAAAAUAAACUUAUAAAUAUCUUCCUCUCAACAAUAUCUACAAAACCCACAAAUAAAAUUCAUGAUCGGACAACCUUUUCCGAAAAACCACUGUACCAAAAAUCGCACCACCGUGCCGGAAAUCGUAACAUGUUCUACCGCCGCCGCCGUUGUGUGUUUGAGGGGUUGAAAGUGUGAACAAGACAUGAGACUUUGUCGAGAGACAGGUUGUGCUCGCAUAACGUAAGUUGAACGUGUGGAAAGCUUCCUAAGGUUCUUUUUAGAUUGUGAGAUUCGCUAUUAUCACGGUGGCCUGGAGUCAUAUCAGGAAGACGGCCAGUCUGGUGUUGAUAAGCGGGAGGCUUGAAGUUGUUGCGGGUCGUUGUUACCCAACCAUCUUCAGUUAGAGUCCAGUGAUCAGCUUAGGGGUUGUUGUAAGGGUCUCUUUUACUCUUCCUCAUUGUUUUCUCUGUAACUUGUAUAUGGUAAACCCUGCUUAUUUAUUUGUUGAAAUAAAUAUUGUCAUUUUGUUCUUCUAGACAGGAUGUUUGAUUUGUGUUCUUAAACAUUUCAUUGAGAAAAUAACUUAUAAAAGAGGCCUUGUAUUCUAA